rnacentral:lncRNA from 1 species
GUUUGGUGUUAAAAUGCACCUGGGUUUAGCUCCCAGUAUCAAAAAAAAAAAAAAAAAAAGGUAAUGUGUAAAGUGGGCUAUAGGAAUUUAUGAGGUAGGCUUUGUGUGCGUACUGCAGGAUGAGGUGACAUCUACACCAGCGUAAGAGAGGGAAAGGACAAAUGAAAAUAACUAGAUGUGGGGAUUCUGGGGAGAGAAGAGAGUGUCAAAUAUUUGAAGAGAUAUAUGGUUAAGACUUAGGGGACAGAGGAGCACCAUUCUUUUUAACUUUUAAAAAUUAUUUUUAGUUGUACAUGGACACAAUAUCCCUAUUUUACUUAUUUAUUUUUAUGUGGUGGUGAGGAUCAAACCCAGUGCUUCACACAUGCUCAGCAAGUACUCUACUGCUGAGCCACAACGCCUGCACCAGGAACACCACUCUUAAGGAAUUUGAGGGAAAAAUCAGGCUCUUGGGUCAAGCAGCUGACAUGUAAUUUCCACAGUUCUGUGGAGUGGAGUAUCAGACUAGUAGAAUCCAGGCUUCAGAUUCAUUUACUAAUGGUGUGUCUUUGUUCAAACUGCUUAGCCUCUUGGUACCUAUUUCCUCAUGUAUAAAAUGAAGCUUAUAGGGCUGAGGUUGUGGGCUUAAUGAUAGAGCACUUGCCUAAUGUGUGAGACACUGGGUUCGAUUCUCAGCACCACAUAUAAAUAAACGAAUGAAUGAAUGAAAUGAAGCUGAUAAAUAUCUGUCACAGGAUUAAU